rnacentral:rRNA from 1 species
UACGUAGGGUCCGAGCGUUGUCCGGAUUUAUUGGGCGUAAAGAGCUCGUAGGCGGUUCCGUAAGUCAGAUGUGAAAACUCAGGCUCAACCCGAGACGCCAUCUGAUACUGCGGUGACUGGAGUCUGGUAGGGGAACACGGAAUUCCUGGUGUAGCGGUGAAAUGCGCAGAUAUCAGGAAGAACACCCGUGGCUAAGGCGGCUCUCUAGUAACGGUACUGACGCUGAGACGCGAAAGCGUGGGGAGCGAACAGG